UACGUAGGUGGCAAGCGUUGUCCGGAUUUACUGGGCGUAAAGAGCGCGCAGGCGGUCGAUCAAGUCGCGUGUGAAAGCCCCCGGCUCAACUGGGGAGGGUCACGCGAUACUGAUCGACUCGAAGGCAGGAGAGGGUAGUGGAAUUCCCGGUGUAGUGGUGAAAUGCGUAGAUAUCUGGAGGAACACCGGUGGCGAAGGCGGCAUCCUGGACCGGUAUUGACGCUGAGGCGCGAAAGCUAGGGGAGCCAAAGCGGG
rnacentral:rRNA from 1 species